GACGAACGCUGGCGGUGUGCUUAAUACAUGCAAGUCGAGGGACGAAACCAGAGUGGGUAACCACCCUGGCUGAAACCGGCGAACGGGUGAGUAACACGUGGGCAACGUGCCCCAGACUCGGGAACAACAACGGGAAACCGUUGCUAAUGCCCGAUAAACCCCUCGCGUACCGCAUGGCGGUGCAGGGCGAAANACUCCGGCGGUCUGGGAGUCGGCCCGGCCGGUGUAUCAGCUUGUUGGGUGGGGGUAACGGACCUACCAAAGGCUAUGACGCAUAGCUGGCGUGAGAGCGCGAUCAG
rnacentral:rRNA from 1 species